rnacentral:rRNA from 1 species
UAGGGAAUCUUCCGCAAUGGGCGAAAGCUUGACGGAGCAACGCCGCGUGAGUGAUGAAGGUCUUCGGAUCGUAAAACUCUGUUAUUAGGGAAGAACAAAUGUGUAAGUAACUAUGCACGUCUUGACGGUACCUAAUCAGAAAGCCACGGCUAACUACGUGCCAGCAGCCGCGGUAAUACGUAGGUGGCAAGCGUUAUCCGGAAUUAUUGGGCGUAAAGCGCGCGUAGGCGGUUUUUUAAGUCUGAUGUGAAAGCCCACUGCUCAACCGUGGAGGGUCAUUGGAAACUGUAAAACUUGAGUGCAGAAGAGGAAAGUGGAAUUCCAUGUGUAGCGGUGAAAUGCGCAGAGAUAUGGAGGAACACCAGUGGCGAAGGCGACUUUCUGGUCUGUAACUGACGCUGAUGUGCGAAAGCGUGGGGAUCAAACAGG